rnacentral:rRNA from 1 species
AUUGAACGCUGGCGGCAUGCCUUACACAUGCAAGUCGAACGGCAGCACGGGGGCAACCCUGGUGGCGAGUGGCGCACGGGUGAGUAAUGCAUCGGAACGUGUCCUCUUGUGGGGGAUAACCAGUCGAAAGACUGGCUAAUACCGCAUGAGCUCGAGAGAGGAAAGCGGGGGACCGCAAGGCCUCGCGCGAGAGGAGCGGCCGAUGCCGGAUUAGCUAGUUGGCGGGGUAACGGCCCACCAAGGCGACGAUCCGUAGCUGGUCUGAGAGGACGACCAGCCAAACUGGGACUGAGACACGGCCCAGACUCCUACGGGAGGCAGCAGUGGGGAAUUUUGGACAAUGGGCGCAAGCCUGAUCCAGCCAUGCCGCGUGUGUGAAGAAGGCCUUCGGGUUGUAAAGCACUUUCGGGCGGAACGAAAUCGCGCGGGUGAACAAUCCGCGUGGAUGACGGUACCGCAAGAAGGAGCACCGGCUAACUACGUGCCAGCCGCCGCGGUAACAC